UUCCUUUAGAAACAGGAAGUUAAGCAUGCAAAACGCCAGCACCUCAAGUUUUGCUGUGUUUAGGCUGCUAGAAAACCCCGGGCUUCAGGGAAUGUUCCUUUUUUCAAGAGAUAUGCCUCUUCAAAUAGGUCUGGCUUUUGGUGGAUCUCGUGAAUGUCCUGGGAAUUUUGUCGGGGGGAGGGAUGGAACUGAAUCCCCUCACUGACUCUUCCUUGGGGCUGUCUUCCUGGGCUGUAGGCAAGGUCCCCAUUGACUGGCCAACGUUUCCCAAAGUCACUUCGUUCUAAUUCCCAAAGCUGUUGCCAGAGCACGUGAUACAGUUAAAGGCGGCCUAUGCCCUGUGUGCUGCUUACAUGCUUCCGGGACGUUCCCAUGGUCAGAGGCUCACUGGCAGAUGAAAGCCUGUGAUGUGACCCAAUGCUGAGCCGGCCCACAGAUUUGCCCUCAAGACAAUUGUUUGGAAGAGCCCUAUGGAAGGAGAUUCUGGACCACCUGCCAGGCAUGUACCUGAAUGAUUAUUGAAACCAUAAAAGACAACGUAUUUAUGUUGAUUGCACAGAGACGAGGAACCCAACAGCCCACCAGGUGCUCCUUGCCAUUUGGAUGCUCUCGUGGAUACUCCUCAAACUAUGUGUCUGCCGACUCUCAGCACCAUCACUAGAAAAAGGCUCCAGAUGCUGUUCAUGGACCAGCAGCAUCAGCAUCACCUUACAAGAAAUGCCAAAAUCUGAGGCCUACCCUGGACCUACUGCAUCAGAGUGUGCAUUUUUAACAAUAUUCCCCCAAACGCAUCAUAUUUACAUUAAAAAUCAAGAAGCAUCAUGCUAUCUGUUCCCCACAUUGGUUGUUCUACAUUUUUCUCACAGUGCUUAAUUCUUGAUUCCCCUGAUGGAUGAUUCUAUCAGUCAAGGUCCAAUAAGGAAAACAGAAAACAUUCUAAAGAUUUCAAACAGAAGGAAUUUAAUAUAGAAAACUGGUUACACGGGUGAUGGAAGAGCCUACUAGGACCAGGAAAUCGAGGCCAAUGAUAGCAAAGCCUGAAACUGUUGUCUUCUUUACAGUGAAGAGUUGUAAAAGGCAUGGAAACAACCUCACCAGUGAACUGCAUCCUGCCAGCCUUCCACUGAAUUGCCUUUCUGGCUUGGGAGGACUCAGCUGGUUGAAAAUUGCACAUCUUUUCAGAAAUAGGCAGGGGAGCGUGCCUGCAUCUGUAGCUCUGAACUUUAAAAGCGGAGUGUCGCUGACCGACCUAUUCUGUGCUCAUGGAGAGACGUCUUGCGACCUGGAUUAUAUACUCUGCUGCCUGAGGAAUGGGUGGGGUCAGUCUGAGCCCCCGAAGCACCCACAGAGCCCAGCUCUGUGCCUGGCAUGUGUUAGAAACCCAGUAUUUGCUGAAUAAGACACAGUAACUCAAAGCCAAAGACCUCAGUCAUCAUGCACUGCUUGCUCCACUUCCAGAUUUUUGUGGAAGCCCAGAGUCUCAGUCCUACCACGUGUAAAAUGGGGAUAAUACUACCAGCCCCACUUACGUCACAGCAUUAGUGUUAAGAUCAAAUGAGAUCGUGUUGUGAGUUUGUUCUAGCAAGCACGUAAAUUGUUUUUAUAAUGAUCUAAAUAAAAAAGCCUCACCCACCAAGGCUUGC